AUUUUUGUUUUUAAACAUGUAUUUAUUUAUUUAUUUUCAUAAUGUCUACACCCAAUGUGGGGCUCGACCUCAUGACCCCGAGGCCCGAGGGUGAGAGCUGCUUUGCUCCAUGGGCUGAGGCAGCCAGGCACUCCUGGGCGUCUUUUGAACAAUUUUAAAAUUUCAUUUAAGCUUUUAUUUAAAUUCCAGUUGGUUAACAUAUGGCGUAGUACUAGUUUCAGGUUUACGAGGUAGUGAUUCCUCACUGCCACCCUCACCUGACGCUCAUCAGGACACACGCCCGUCUUCCUCCCCAUCACCGGGUUCCCCGGCCCCCAGCCUCCCUCCCCUCCGGUGACCCUCUGGCUAUUCUCUCGAGUGAAGAGUCUGUUUCCUGGUUUGCCUCUCUUUCGGGCGUCUUCUGACAUGGCUGUCAUCGUGGGACCCUUGUCCCCCAGGUGCUGCCAUUCUGUCCAGUGCUUGAGGGGAGGAGGAGGGGCUGUUUCGUCUCAUCUUUGCGGCUCUUCUCUUGCCUCCCUGUCCUCCCUCCCCCCCAGUCAUGGUCAGGGAGUCCCUCCUGUCUGGACACAGGCCUCCCGGCCGGAGCUGGAGCCAAGCACACGAGCCAGAUGGAGAGAAGCGUGGGGGGUGGACAAAGUCCCAGAGACUGAGGACCUCAACAUUCCCACAAUGUCAGGUUGAAAGCCGUGGGCACAGGGGCUGUCAGCAUCGCCUACAGUCAUGUCUGGAGGUCUAACUCUUCAGUGGGCAGUAAGAGCCAGCUGGAGCCAGAGUGUCCCCUGGAUCAAGUCAGGUUCUUGUUUGUGAGACCAUGGGUUGGGAAAUAUGUGGGACAGUCCUCAGGGGGAAGUGGAAACUGACACAGAAAGGGAUGUAGAGGGAACUGUGAGGUGAGAACGGCCACACGGUGAGGGGGGCUCUGUCCGGGCAGCAGCUAGAGAGAUGCAGAACCAGCAAAGGCAGACAGGACA